rnacentral:tRNA from 1 species
GGGGAUUUAACUCAAUGGUAGAGCGUGUGCCUAUCAUGCACAAGGCCCAGAGUUCGGUCCUUGGCCCUG